GACGAACGCUGGCGGCGUGCCUAAUACAUGCAAGUAGAACGCUGAAGAGAGGAGCUUGCUCUUCUUGGAUGAGUUGCGAACGGGUGAGUAACGCGUAGGUAACCUGCCUUGUAGCGGGGGAUAACUAUUGGAAACGAUAGCUAAUACCGCAUAACAAUGGAUGACACAUGUCAUUUAUUUGAAAGGGGCAAUUGCUCCACUACAAGAUGGACCUGCGUUGUAUUAGCUAGUAGGUGAGGUAGUGGCUCACCUAGGCGACGAUACAUAGCCGACCUGAGAGGGUGAUCGGCCACACUGGGACUGAGACACGGCCCAGACUCCUACGGGAGGCAGCAGUAGGGAAUCUUCGGCAAUGGGGACAACCCUGACCGAGCAACGCCGCGUGAGUGAAGAAGGUUUUCGGAUCGUAAAGCUCUGUUGUAAGUCAAGAACGGGUGUGAGAGUGGAAAGUUCACACUGUGACGGUAGCUUACCAGAAAGGGACGGCUAACUACGUG
rnacentral:rRNA from 1 species